AUUGAACGCUGGCGGCAUGCCUAACACAUGCAAGUCGAACGGCAGCACGGGUGCUUGCACCUGGUGGCGAGUGGCGAACGGGUGAGUAAUACAUCGGAACAUGUCCUGUAGUGGGGGAUAGCCCGCCGAAAGCCGGAUUAAUACCGCAUACGAUCCACGGAUGACAGCGGGGGACCUUCGGGCCUCGCGCUGUAGGGUUAGCCGAUGGCUGAUUAGCUAGUUGGUGGGGUGAAGGCCUACCAAGGCGACGAUCAGUAGCUGGUCUGAGAGGACGACCAGCCACACUGGAACUGAGACACGGCCCAGACUCCUACGGGAGGCAGCAGUGGGGAAUUUUGGACAAUGGGGGAAAGCCUGAUCCAGCAAUGCCGCGUGUGUGAAGAAGGCCUUCGGGUUGUAAAGCAGUUUUGUCCGGAAAGAAAUCCUUGACUCUAAUACAGUCGGGGGAUGACGGUACCGGAAGAAUAAGCACCGGCUAACUACGUG
rnacentral:rRNA from 1 species